GGUGGCUCAGAGGUAGAGCGCUUGCCUUGCAUCCAUGAGGCCCUGGGUUCGAUUCCUCAGCACCA
rnacentral:tRNA from 1 species